UUAAUUUAAUCGAUACAAACAAAAUUCUAUUUAUCAACAGAAUCUCGGCACAAAACCAACCGGCGAGCAGCUGCUUUCCGCCGGCGACUCUUGUCCUAUCUGUCAUGACGACUACACUACGCCGGUGCGGCUGGACUGCAGCCACAUAUUCUGCGAGCUGUGCAUCUCGGCCUGGCUCGACCGUGAACACACCUGCCCCCUCUGCCGGGCGAAGGUCGCCGAGGAACCUACAUGGCGGGACGGUUCCACCGCGUAUAGCUUUCAACUCUACUGAUCGACUGGUUAAGACGAUUAAAAGUCGUAUUCCAACGCUGUUAAUAGAAUUAUGCAUCAGUUAUGUAAAUAUUGGAUAUUUGGUGAAAGAAAAGAAUUAUGUCUGGACCGAGUUAAGUUUUAGUUGCCUACACACAGUUUUAAUAGUAAGUUUUAAAAUGUAAUGGAAGAUCUACUUAAUACUAACGGAAUUAAAGUAACGGUUAACUUCAAACUAAAUUAUGUAUUUAUUAUUAAAGCCCUAUUAUAACGUGUUACCAAGUUGCAGUAAAUUGUUACUGUAACACUGUUCUGUUGCUAUGGUCACCUUUUACCAUCAGGUGGGCCGACAGCUUGUUUAUUAUUCUAAAUUAUAUAAAAAAAUAUUAAAAACUCAAAAAAUUAUACGAAAUUUAUUUUAAUACAAUAUCAAUACUGUAUAAUGUAUUAUAUUAUACAGCCAUGUUGAGACCCCAGGAUAUUUUUUUUUUAUUUCUUACUUUUAAAAUACUUAUGUAAAUAGUAUAUUCAGUAAAAGCUAUAUUUGAAAAAAUUUUGUCCACUUUGUAAAAACUCUGUGCUUACGUCAUACUUUAUAUAUUAUAGUUAAAUACCGCUAGAUAAAUUUUAAAUAAAACAAUCAUGACAAGAAGAUAGAAGAAGGAUAAAAUUCCUACAUUUAAAUAAUACUGUAUAUAAAUUUUAAAUAGAAUUAGCUAUAAAAAUGUUUAAAUCGUCUAUUUUUUGUGUCAAACUAUUAACGAAACUUGUCUAAAUGUUCCAAUAUAUGUAACUAAAAUAUUUACAUAGUCCGUAAUUAAGAAUAUCUUUAGGUCGAGUACAAAAUAGUUGGAUAACUUGUAUGUCGAACGUAUUUUGUGUGGAUACGUCGCCGAGUACAGGAGUAUACGUUAAUGUAAUGAUAGGCUUUGUACAAAAUCCAUAAUGUGUGUAACGGCAAUGUGUGUAGAAGCAAUUUUAUUUUACACUGUGCUAAUGUAACUUUACCACAGUGUAAAAUCAAAUUGCUUCUACACGUUAAAAACUGCUCUUAUUACGUAAAGUAUGUUGUUUUUCUUUAUUCUCUUUAGCACACAUGUAAACACAUUUAAAUAUCUUUUUAUCGAAUUAACAGUGCAUAAAAUAAUCAAAUAGAUAAAUUAAAAAGAUAUUUAUAUUAUUUUACUAUAUAUAAUUGCACAUUAUUACUUUUUUUCUAUUUUAGUUUUAAAUAACUUCAUUCAGUUAAAAGACAUUUUGAUAUUUAGGAUUUACUUUGUUAUUGUUUAUUGUCUAGAAAAACUGAUCUUAAUAUUUGAUAGCCACUGUCUUUCAAGUUUCAAAAUUAAAUAUAAAAACCAUUAAAGCCAUAAACAAAACUUCUAAUAAGCUAAAUUCUCCUGAACUUUAAAAAUAACUUGUUAAAAUAUGCUACUCGCUUGUGCAGCGUACUUUUUUUUUGCAUAAAAUCACAAAAUAAAUUAUGAUAUAAACAAUAAUCGAUUGAAAUUCUAUAAUAAUACUCUUUUUAUUAUUUGACAAAGUCCACUGAACACAUUUUGUAAAAAGUAGUUACUGAGCUUUACUUCCCUAUCUUAUUCCAAGCUGAGUUAUAUAACUCAGUUAUGUACUGAGUUAUAUACGUUAUAUGCGUAAAAAUACUUAUUAACUGAAAAUAUAUGUACUAUUUACAUAGUAACCAAAAUAUAUUCAUAUUGUUAAUACUCCAUAUUGUAAAUAAAAUCGGAUAAUUGUACAUUAAUAUAAGCGUAAUGUGAUAAAUGUCUGGCCAAGUGUUUCAUUCGUUUUACCAAUGAGUUUUAAGUGCGUUCUUAUGAAUUAAAUCAUUGUACAUUUAUUUACAUAUUAAAAUUAUAUAGGUACUUACAUAUUUUUUGCUUUGUACGUAUACAAUUAUAACGCACUAUUGUUUUACCGUCAAUUUCAUGAACCAAGUAAUCCAUAAACAAUGGGCUAUUUUGAUUAAUUUUUAAUUAAAAAAUAAAAUAAAAAAAGUAUAUUAACUUUAUUUUUAACGAAGUGAAAUGACAAUAAUGUUGUUCUACUCGUAAAUACAUAUGGGUAAAUAUAUUUUAUUAAAAUAUGGGAAUCCAUUGAUAUAUUUUCUAAUAUAAUGUAGUAUGUUGUCGUAUAUUUCAAAUAUAUUAACAUCAUAAGUAAGGCACAUAAUUUAUUGUCAUUUCACCAUAAAGUUUAUUUCGCAGUUAUAAGGAAACUUUUUAUUUGUAUUUCGUAUAAAACUAUGUGUCCACUACGAUAGUGCAAUAAAUUUUAUUUCUUAUUAUUAAAUUAUUGAUUUUAAAUUAUAUGUAAAAUGGGGUUCUAUUUGCAUUCCUGUCACAUGCAAGGACAUUCCAUAGAUUAUGUUCCAGGGAAUAUAUUGUAAGUAGUAUAUUAAGAUACAGUGGUUAUUUGUAUAAUAUAAGUGUUGUUUUAUAUUUAUUUACAUUAUACAGCUAUGUAAUCGAUAAAAAAUUAUGUAUAAUAGAUGGGUUGUUGUAUGUAUAUACAAUAUGUAUGUACAUGUAUGUAACUGAAUGCGAUCAAGAUGUCAGAAACCUGUUUUUGUUAUUCUAACUGGCAUAAUUAGUCAACAACUUAGGCACGAUUCUAUGGAAAUAAGUGCAUAAAAUCAAUAAUUAGGUAGCUAUAUAUUUAAAAAUGUAAUAAAAGUUUUUGUAUUGAUUGAUUAUUAGUUUUUUUUUUGUUUAUUUAAAUACUUUUUAUACAUUCUCUUUUAAUAUAUCUAUAUUAGGUUAUAGCAAAAAUGAUAAAAUUACAUUUAAGUCUAUUUUAUAUUUAAUUAAAUAAAUUUGUGAGUUACAAUUUUUUGUUUACUAAUUGUGCCAACCAUAGAAAACGAUUAAUUAUUUGAAUUGAAAUAAUUAUGUUUCCCAUUUUGAAAUGUGAAAAUUGCAACAAAAAUGCGGAUAUUUAAAAAGUCUGGAUAUUUUAGUCACAAAUUAUUUGAGUUCUGAUUUAGUUGAACUAGUUGUAUAUAGUUUAAUAAAGAUAUAUGACUGUUAUAAUACCAUAUAUUUUAUUUUUAAAUAUUGCAACUAAUUAAUCAAAUAUUAAAAAAAAAUUCAUCCAUAUAAAAAACUCGAAGCCCGGACAGAACGCCGAAAGGAUGCUAAACCAAAUUAUAUUUUUUUUGCGUGAAUAUUCUGUAUAACCUUAAUUAUAAAAUGUAUUGCCAACCGAUGUGCAAUUGUUCUCAUGGCCUAUUUAAACAAUGGACAAUGCGCGAAAGGCAUCCAUUAAACGAUAGAUCUUGUAUCAGUCAAUCCAAUUAGUUGUAGAUAAAUUAUUAACGAUUGUCAGAAUAUAGAGAAACGUGUUCAUUCAUCCAUGCUGUAUUGUCCACCCGAUAAUCGUCAGCCGGACAAAAAUAAAUGACACCUAACGCGUUAUAUCAUAAACAAUAAUAUACUUAUUAACGACUGGCGACUAAAAUAUUUGAAUUUGGAGAAAACCAUGGCCGUUAGAGAUUAUUUGUUUUAAAUUGUAAUAAAAAAAAAAAGGAUUUGUAGUUCUAUCAAUUCCCAAUUUACUUUUUAAUCUUGGCAGUAGAUUCUCAAUUUGAACGUUUUAUAGUUAUCCAUAAUAGUUUUUAAAUCGCUUAAUUCAAUUUAUAAACCUAUACGACCUGAAUGAAUAUUGUUCUAUACAGAUCAGUCCGUAAUGGGUAAUGAAUUUAUUAAAUAUAAGGAAAUUUGAUGUAUAUGUGUGUUCAUAAGCGUUUGAGGGGUGUUCAAUUCGUUCGUAUGUUUGAAUCUGAGAAUUUUAUGUGCCUACCAAAUAUUAUAUGAUUAAUAUUAAAGAAAUCAACCUGCAUUGAUUACUUAUUAAAAUGUUAAGCUGA
rnacentral:lncRNA from 1 species